GAUGUCCACAGAUGACACGAGGGAAUGGAGACAAAAGGAUGGAUGCUGACUGCUUCCACUCGGAGCACUGUCCCUGGGACUGUCAGCAAACAGAUGAAAAGGCCACCCCAGAGUCCCCAAGGCAUGUCAGCUGCAGGAUUUAAAAAUAAUCCAUUUGUUACAGAGUCAAUAAAUAUUUCCUACAUAAUAGUUCUACAUGAUCAUUAUUAAAUGUGGGCCUGUGUAAACUCAACACUGUAUUCCAAAAUUGUAGCUGGGUUAGCAAUAAUGGAGGAAAUAAGAAUU